rnacentral:rRNA from 1 species
UAUACGACCGUACCGCAAACCGACACUGGUGCGCGAGAUGAGUAUUCUAAGGCGCUUGAGAGAACUCAGGAGAAGGAACUCGGCAAAUUGACACCGUAACUUCGGAAGAAGGUGUGCCCUAUUAGUGUGUAGUGAACAACGAAGCAUGAAUGGGUUGCAAAAAAUCGGUGGCUGCGACUGUUUAUUAAAAACACAGCACUCUGCAAACACGAAAGUGGACGUAUAGGGUGUGACGCCUGCCCGGUGCUGGAAGAUUAAAUGAUGGGGUGCAAGCUCUUGAUUGAAGUCCCAGUAAACGGCGGCCGUAACAAUAACGGUCCUAAGGUAGCGAAAUUCCUUGUCGGGUAAGUUCCGACCUGCACGAAUGGCGUAACGAUGGCCACACUGUCUCCUCCUGAGACUCAGCGAAGUUGAAAUGUUUGUGAUGAUGCAAUCUCCCCGCGGAAAGACGGAAAGACCCCAUGAACCUUUACUGUAGCUUUGUAUUGGACUUUGAACAGAUCUGUGUAGGAUAGGUGGGAGGCUUUGAAGCAGGGUCGCUAGAUCUUGUGGAGCCAACGUUGAAAUACCACCCUGGUGUGUUUGAGGUUCUAACCUAGGUCCAUUAUCUGGAUCGGGGACAGUGCAUGGUAGGCAGUUUGACUGGGGCGGUCUCCUCCCAAAGCGUAACGGAGGAGUUCGAAGGUACGCUAGUUACGGUCGGACAUCGUGACGAUAGUGCAAUGGCAUAAGCGUGCUUAACUGCGAGACUGACAAGUCGAGCAGAUGCGAAAGCAGGACAUAGUGAUCCGGUGGUUCUGUAUGGAAGGGCCAUCGCUCAACGGAUAAAAGGUACUCUGGGGAUAACAGGCUGAUACCGCCCAAGAGUUCAUAUCGACGGCGGUGUUUGGCACCUCGAUGUCGGCUCAUCUCAUCCUGGGGCUGUAGCCGGUCCCAAGGGUAUGGCUGUUCGCCAUUUAAAGAGGUACGUGAGCUGGGUUUAAAACGUCGUGAGACAGUUUGGUCCCUAUCUUCCGUGGGCGCUGCAGAUUUGAGGAAGCCUGCUCCUAGUACGAGAGGACCGGAGUGGACACACCUCUGGUGUAUCGGUUGUCACGCCAGUGGCAUUGCCGAGUAGCUAAGUGUGGAAGAGAUAACCGCUGAAAGCAUCUAAGCGGGAAACUCGUUUCAAGAUGAGAUCUGCCGGGGCCUUGAGCCCCCUAAAGAGUCGUUCAAGACCAGGACGUUGAUAGGUCAGGUGUGGAAGUGAAA